UUACACCCCACGUCCCUCCCCUUAAUUUCGCAAAAAAAAAAUUGCACCCCCUGUUAUAAACUCCCCACCAUCACCACCGCUCUCCCUAAUUCCCCGUCGUCAUCAUCAACGCCGAGUUCCCUUUGGUUCACCACAGGUUGACGGACGACAAACCUAUUUGUUUUAUCAUUUUCCUAAUGCAAUUGCUACUAUAAGAAGAUGAAAUCGAGAUGGAAGACAAACCUAAAGAGGAACAGGUAACCGAAAUGGAUUGAAAUCACCCGGGGACAACAGUGGGAAGAAAAUCGGGGGUUAGGUGAUUCAUGAAACAAAAAACGACCAUGAAGAACCAACAAGCUUCAAGAAACAUUAUAUCUAAAAGAUCCACACAUUUCUUGUGUAUCUGUAGUUUUGUGCUGGAUUACUCUUCACCAAAAGGGAAAUUGGAUUUGCUAGAGUUAAAAUUGUGAUUUAUGCUUAAUGGGCUUUCUUUAUACAACUCUUUUUUGAUGCAUUUCAGUCAAGAAUCCCAUUCCUUAUAACGAAUUUGCUGAUCAAAUUUAUGAUGUCUGGUACGGUAGUUUGUUGGUGAAGAUAUAUUUCCAUGAUUGGUUUCUAAAAUUUUAUCAUCAAUCCAUCAUAUCAUAUGUAAUUUGUUCCAAAACAAAAUGCAUAAUAAACCCCUUUUACCAAGAUUUAUAAAUAAAUGGGUUGCUUGGAUAUUGGUAUCCUCAAAGUCACUAAAUUGGAGUAGCUGUUGGCAGGGUAC